rnacentral:rRNA from 1 species
UACGGAGGGGGCUAGCGUUGUUCGGAAUUACUGGGCGUAAAGCGCACGUAGGCGGCUUUGCAAGUUAGAGGUGAAAGCCCGGGGCUCAACCCCGGAAUUGCCUUUAAAACUGCAUUGCUAGAAUUGUGGAGAGGUAAGUGGAAUUCCGAGUGUAGAGGUGAAAUUCGUAGAUAUUCGGAAGAACACCAGUGGCGAAGGCGACUGACUGGACAGAUAUUGACGCUGAGGUGCGAAAGCGUGGGGAGCAAACAGG